rnacentral:rRNA from 1 species
AACCCAGUGCAAUUCGUUGCACUAUCGUUAACUGAAUACAUAGGUUAACGAGGCGAACCGGGGGAACUGAAACAUCUAAGUACCCCGAGGAAAAGAAAUCAACCGAGAUUCCCCCAGUAGCGGCGAGCGAACGGGGAGCAGCCCAGAGUCUGAAUCAGCUUGUGUGUUAGUGGAACGGUCUGGAAAGUCCGACGGUACAGGGUGAUAGUCCCGUACACCAAAAUGCACAGGUUGUGAACUCGAAGAGUAGGGCGGGACACGUGGUAUCCUGUCUGAAUAUGGGGGGACCAUCCUCCAAGGCUAAAUACUCCUGACUGACCGAUAGUGAACCAGUACCGUGAGGGAAAGGCGAAAAGAACCCCGGCGAGGGGAGUGAAAAAGAACCUGAAACCGUGUACGUACAAGCAGUGGGAGCACCUUCGGGUGUGACUGCGUACCUUUUGUAUAAUGGGUCAGCGACUUAUAUUCUGUAGCAAGGUUAACCGUAUAGGGGAGCCGCAGGGAAACCGAGUCUUAACUGGGCGUUAAGUUGCAGGGUAUAGACCCGAAACCCGGUGAUCUAGCCAUGGGCAGGUUGAAGGUUGGGUAACACUAACUGGAGGACCGAACCGACUAAUGUUGAAAAAUUAGCGGAUGACUUGUGGCUGGGGGUGAAAGGCCAAUCAAACCGGGAGAUAGCUGGUUCUCCCCGAAAGCUAUUUAGGUAGCGCCUCGUGAACUCAUCUUCGGGGGUAGAGCACUGUUUCGGCUAGGGGGUCAUCCCGACUUACCAACCCGAUGCAAACUACGAAUACCGAAGAAUGUUAUCACGGGAGACACACGGCGGGUGCUAACGUCCGUCGUGAAGAGGGAAACAACCCAGACCGCCAGCUAAGGUCCCAAAGUCAUGGUUAAGUGGGAAACGAUGUGGGAAGGCACAGACAGCCAGGAUGUUGGCUUAGAAGCAGCCAUCAUUUAAAGAAAGCGUAAUAGCUCACUGGUCGAGUCGGCCUGCGCGGAAGAUGUAACGGGGCUAAACCAUGCACCGAAGCUGCGGCAGCGACACUAUGUGUUGUUGGGUAGGGGAGCGUUCUGUAAGCCUGCGAAGGUGUGCUGUGAGGCAUGCUGGAGGUAUCAGAAGUGCGAAUGCUGACAUAAGUAACGAUAAAGCGGGUGAAAAGCCCGCUCGCCGGAAGACCAAGGGUUCCUGUCCAACGUUAAUCGGGGCAGGGUGAGUCGACCCCUAAGGCGAGGCCGAAAGGCGUAGUCGAUGGGAAACAGGUUAAUAUUCCUGUACUUGGUGUUACUGCGAAGGGGGGACGGAGAAGGCUAUGUUAGCCGGGCGACGGUUGUCCCGGUUUAAGCAUGUAGGCUGGUU